UACGAAGGGAGCUAGCGUUGUUCGGAAUCACUGGGCGUAAAGCGCACGUAGGCGGAUUCCUAAGUCGGGGGUGAAAUCCUGGAGCUCAACUCCAGAACUGCCUUCGAUACUGGGAAUCUUGAGUCCGGAAGAGGUGAGUGGAACUGCGAGUGUAGAGGUGAAAUUCGUAGAUAUUCGCAAGAACACCAGUGGCGAAGGCGGCUCACUGGUCCGGUACUGACGCUGAGGUGCGAAAGCGUGGGGAGCAAACAGG
rnacentral:rRNA from 1 species